rnacentral:lncRNA from 10 species
CAGGCUCAAGCUGGAAGGGACUUGUCUUAGAUGAGAGUUUGGACUUGGACUUUUGAGUUAAUGGAGGAAUCCAGUGGGAGGGCCAAUACUGUGUUAAAAGUAGAAAUAACAGGUGAGAAUGUUGACAAAAGUAAAACCAUAACAUAGAUGCCUGGUCCUGUAGUAAUGAGGCUUGGACUGGAGAAGACAUUAAAGUUUAUUCCAGUUGGGCCACAUCAUGAAACUGGAGAGGUGUGAUGGGUGCAGCAUGAACCAGGACAGAGGAAAGCAGAGAGAAGGUGCUCCACACUGAUGAAGCAGCCAGAGGAAUGGGCCUUGGCAGUGGAGGGGAACAUCUGGGCUCAGGCUCUAGACACGUGAUGGAGUCAUGCUAUGAUGCUCAGAGUGGUCUUGAGCUCCUGGCCUCAAGCAAUCCUCCCACCUCAGCCCCCUGAGUAGCUGGGAUUAUAGGUGAGAGGCACCAUGCCUGGAUUUGCUUUAUAAAUUUUGAUAUGUUACUUGGUGCAUAGAUAUUCAUUGCUGUUAGACCUUCAUUAUGUGUUGUACCCUGCCCUUCUUUGGUUCACUUUUCCUUGAAUUCAGUCUUGUCUGAUAUUAAUUUUCAGCUGUCUGCUUUCUUCUUAUUUCCAUUUUUCUAAUAUGCUUUUGCCUACUCAUUUGCUUUCAAUUUUUUCUGAGUCAUUUCAUUCUAGAUGAGUAUAUUACAGUCAGUACUUAAUUGGGUUUUUCUUUGUCACUGAAUAUGAGUGUCUCUUUUCCUGUGUAUUGAUAGGGUAGAUAUGUGUAGUAUGAGUGUUACAAUUUUUUAAAAAACUUUGAUUUCUCU